rnacentral:lncRNA from 1 species
UUGAACAAAACACAAUCCAGGUUGAGAUUGAUACCUAAGAUAGGUUCUGAAGGUUCUAACACCCUAAACACACAUGCUUCAAGUUAUCUUCAUCUUAUAUGGAUAGGAUUCUGAUUAUCUGGAAGUUUUUUAGGAGAUUUUUUCCAGGAUUUUUAGAAUAUGAGAUCUUGGAAUAUUUUCAAGGAUUUUCUAGAUGGAGUCCAAACUUUUGAAAGCAGUAAGAUGCCUUUUUAUAGCCAAAGCCUUGGGGCAACUCUCUUUUUGUGUUUUCUCAUUAGUCCUUUUCCUAUUUCUUAGAAUUGUUAAAUUAGUCCGUCCUUUUCUAACUUGUACCUCAUGUUUAUUAGAAAAAUUACCAGAAAAUAGCUUUUGAACCUCCAACUAGAAGGUUCCAGGGGCCUAUUGCAAGAUUCUCAUACCCAAAUAUCCCUAUUACCCUUGUCUUUUCUUUUCAAU